rnacentral:rRNA from 1 species
GGGUAACCUACCUAUAAGACUGGGAUAACUUCGGGAAACCGGAGCUAAUACCGGAUAAUAUUUCGAACCGCAUGGUUCGAUAGUGAAAGAUGGUUUUGCUAUCACUUAUAGAUGGACCCGCGCCGUAUUAGCUAGUUGGUAAGGUAACGGCAUACCAAGGCGACGAUACGUAGCCCACCUGAGAGGGUGAUCGGCCACACUGGAACUGAGACACGGUCCAGACUCCUAAGGGAGGCAGCAGUAGGGAAUCUUCCGCAAUGGGCGAAAGCCUGACGGAGCAACGCCGCGUGAGUGAUGAAGGUCUUCGGAUCUUAAAACUCUGUUAUUAGGGAAGAACAUACGUGUAAGUAACUAUGCACGUCUUGACGGUACCUAAUCAGAAAGCCACGGCUAACUACGUGCCAGCAGCCGCGGUAAUACGUAGGUGGCAAGCGUUAUCCGGAAUUAUUGGGCGUAAAGCGCGCGUAGGCGGUUUUUUAAGUCUGAUGUGAAAGCCCACGGCUCAACCGUGGAGGGUCAUUGG